UACGAAGGGGGCUAGCGUUGCUCGGAAUCACUGGGCGUAAAGCGCACGUAGGCGGAUCGUUAAGUCGGAGGUGAAAUCCUGGAGCUCAACUCCAGAACUGCCUUUGAUACUGAAGAUCUUGAGUUCGGGAGAGGUGAGUGGAACUGCGAGUGUAGAGGUGAAAUUCGUAGAUAUUCGCAAGAACACCAGUGGCGAAGGCGGCUCACUGGCCCGAUACUGACGCUGAGGCACGAAAGCGUGGGGAGCAAACAGG
rnacentral:rRNA from 1 species